rnacentral:lncRNA from 1 species
CUUCGACAGUGCGUAGUGUUCAGGAUCUGUCCUUGUGCCCCCAGCAGAGUGGAUUCACUCAGGGGGAAGGCUACACCACCUUGCAUCUCCUCCACCUCCUCGAGGCUGGGACACCAGGGCAUGUGAGAGAGCAGAAGGGGUCCGGGGCAAUAACAGGGCACUGUGUUUGAGAAGAUUUGUGUGGCAGAGAGAAGCACAGCGGCGCACCCUUGAGGCUUCUGGGUCUCACUACAGCACUGUGGACACAGCUAGUUAGUACCUAGUGCUGAAUGGCCACAAGUCUGAACCACAGCAGCAUUAAUGAGUAUAACUGCAAAGUGAGAUGCUCAUCAUGCACCGUGCUUUUCUGCGCUUUAAUCGCAAUGACCGUAGAGCUGCUCUCAAUGUAAAUCACAUCCUCUGUCAUCCGUAGGUGAGCUACAAGUUGACUGGUACGACUGGGC